UACGUAGGGGCCAAGCGUUGUCCGGAAUUAUUGGGCGUAAAGGGCGCGUAGGCGGCUUUAUAAGUCGGAUGUUAAAUCUACAGGCUCAACCUGUAGCCGCAUCCGAUACUGUUUUGCUGGAGAGUGGUAGAGGAAAGCGGAACUUUCGGUGUAGCGGUGAAAUGCGUAGAUAUCGAAAGGAACACCAGUGGCGAAGGCGGCUUUCUGGACCAUUUCUGACGCUGAGGCGCGAAAGCCAGGGGAGC
rnacentral:rRNA from 1 species